rnacentral:rRNA from 1 species
UACGAAGGGGGCUAGCGUUGCUCGGAAUCACUGGGCGUAAAGGGUGCGUAGGCGGGUCUUUUAAGUCAGGGGUGAAAUCCUGGAGCUCAACUCCAGAACUGCCUUUGAUACUGAGGAUCUUGAGUUCGGGAGAGGUGAGUGGGAACUGCGAGUGUAGAGGUGAAAUUCGUAAGAUAUUCGCAAGAACACCGGUGGCGAAGGCGGCAAUCCUGGACCGGUAGUUGGACGCUGAUGCGCGAAAGCCAGGGGAGAC